rnacentral:rRNA from 1 species
UGCUGACGAGUGGCGGACGGGUGAGUAAUACUUGGGAAUGUGCCUUUGUGACGGGGAGACUAUUGGAAACGAUAGCUAAUACCGCAUAACGUCUACGGACCAAAGGGGGGACUUGUUCCUCCCGCGCAAAGAGCAGCCCAAGCGAGAUUAGCUAGUUGGUGGGGUAAAGGCCUACCAAGGCGACGAUCUCUAGCUGUUCUGAGAGGAAGAUCAGCCACACUGGGACUGAGACACGGCCCAGACUCCUACGGGAGGCAGCAGUGGGGAAUAUUGCACAAUGGGGGAAACCCUGAUGCAGCCAUGCCGCGUGUGUGAAGAAGGCCUUCGGGUUGUAAAGCACUUUCAGUCGCGAGGAAAGGGUGGUGGUUAAUACCCAUCAUCUGUGACGUUAACGACAGAAGAAGCACCGGCUAACUCCGUGCCAGCAGCCGCGGUAAUACGGAGGGUGCGAGCGUUAAUCGGAAUUACUGGGCGUAAAGCGCACGCAGGCGGUUAUAUAAGCUAGAUGUGAAAGCCCCGGGCUCAACCUGGGAAUAGCAUUUAGAACUGUAUGACUAGAGUCUUGGAGAGGGGAGUGGAAUUCCAGGUGUAGCGGUGAAAUGCGUAGAUAUCUGGAGGAACAUCAGUGGCGAAGGCGACUCCCUGGCCAAAGACUGACGCUCAUGUGCGAAAGUGUGGGUAGCGAACAGGAUUAGAUACCCUGGUAGUCCACACCGUAAACGCUGUCUACUAGCUGUUUGUGUAUUAUAUACGUGAGUAGCGAAGCUAACGCGCUAAGUAGACCGCCUGGGGAGUACGGCCGCAAGGUUAAAACUCAAAUGAAUUGACGGGGGCCCG